AUGGACAUCUACAAGAGCGAGGAGCUCUUCUGGCAGCGGCAUGGGGGCUUGAACUGGCUCCUUAAGGGGGAUGCGAACACUGCCUAUUUUCAGGCGAUUGCUAAUGGCCGCAGGCGAAAGUGUGCUAUCCCUUUUCUCUGGGAUGGGGAUGUCCUUCUGGAAAGCCCAGAGGACAUCUCCACCCAUAUUUACUCCUUUUAUAAGGAGUUGUUCUCGGCUGAGCCGCGUGGAGGCGUCUCCCUCUGCGCUGACUUCUGGCCACCUGCAGAGCAGGUCUCCGAUGUGGAGAAUGCGGAGCUUACUCUCCCUUUCUCUCUUGAGGAGGUGGGACGGGCGAUUGCUUCUAUGAAAGCCUGCUCGGCCCCGGGGCCGGAUGGCCUUCCGGUAGUCUUCUUUCAGAAAUUCUGGGAGAUCUUGCGCCCGAUCAUUAUGCCCAUGUUCCACGAGUUUUAUAUUGGAACCUUGGACAUGGCUAGGAUUAACUACGGUGCCAUAUCCCUGAUCCCCAAAGUAGUUGGGGCGACGGAUAUCCGCCAAUUCCGACCGAUCACGGUGAUCAACGUGUUGGAGCGAAUCUUUGCAAAGGUUUGUGCCACUCGUUUAUCACUGGUGGCGGAAAGGAUUGCUCACCCCCUUCAGUUCGCCUUCCUGAAGGGCCGGCGGAUCCAUGAUGGAAUUCUUGCCCUUCACGAGAUCGUUCACGAGGUGGCGUCGAAGGGGCUCAAGGGGGUUUUCCUCAAAUUGGACUUCCAGAAGGCGUAUGAUCGUCUGGAUUGGUCCUUUUUAAGGUUGGUGAUGGAGCGACGAGGCUUCGACGUGAGGUGGUGUUCCUGGAUCAUGCAACUGGUUAGAUCUGGGAACACUGCGACCAACAUUAAUGGUGAGGUGGGACCCUUUUUCCAGGCGUCCAGAGGAGUAAAGCAAGGGGACCCUGUUUCUCCCUUGCUUUUCAAUCUCGCAGUUGAUGCCCUUGCGGGCAUCUUAGAUAAGGCCAAGUUGGCCGGCCACCUUAAGGGUGUUGUUAGCCACCUCAUCCCGGAUGGGGGGUUACUCACCUGCAGUAUGCGGACGACACCAUGA
rnacentral:rRNA from 1 species